GGAAAGUUUUUCGGUCAAGGAUGGACUCGCGGCCUAUCAGCUUGUUGGUGAGGUAAUGGCUCACCAAGGCGUCGACGGGUAGCCGGCCUGAGAGGGCGACCGGCCACACUGGGACUGAGACACGGCCCAGACUCCUACGGGAGGCAGCAGUGGGGAAUAUUGCACAAUGGGCGAAAGCCUGAUGCAGCGACGCCGCGUGAGGGAUGAAGGCCUUCGGGUUGUAAACCUCUUUCAGUAGGGAAGAAGCGAAAGUGACGGUACCUGCAGAAGAAGCGCCGGCUAACUACGUGCCAGCAGCCGCGGUAAUACGUAGGGCGCAAGCGUUGUCCGGAAUUAUUGGGCGUAAAGAGCUCGUAGGCGGUUUGUCGCGUCUGGUGUGAAAACUCAAGGCUCAACCUUGAGCUUGCAUCGGGUACGGGCAGACUAGAGUGUGGUAGGGGUGACUGGAAUUCCUGGUGUAGCGGUGGAAUGCGCAGAUAUCAGGAGGAACACCGAUGGCGAAGGCAGGUCACUGGGCCACUACUGACGCUGAGGAGCGAAAGCAUGGGGAGCGAACAGGAUUAGAUACCCUGGUAGUCCAUGCCGUAAACGUUGGGCACUAGGUGUGGGGCUCAUUCCACGAGUUCCGCGCCGCAGCUAACGCAUUAAGUGCCCCGCCUGGGGAGUACGGCCGCAAGGCUAAAACUCAAAGGAAUUGACGGGGGCCCGCACAAGCGGCGGAGCAUGCGGAUUAAUUCGAUGCAACGCGAAGAACCUUACCAAGGCUUGACAUACACCGGAAUCAUGCAGAGAUGUGUGCGUCUUCGGACUGGUGUACAGGUGGUGCAUGGUUGUCGUCAGCUCGUGUCGUGAGAUGUUGGGUUAAGUCCCGCAACGAGCGCAACCCUCGUCCUAUGUUGCCAGCACGUUAUGGUGGGGACUCAUAGGAGACUGCCGGGGUCAACUCGGAGGAAGGUGGGGAUGACGUCAAAUCAUCAUGCCCCUUAUGUCUUGGGCUUCACGCAUGCUACAAUGGCCGGUACAAAGGGCUGCGAUACCGCGAGGUGGAGCGAAUCCCAAAAAGCCGGUCUCAGUUCGGAUUGGGGUCUGCAACUCGACCCCAUGAAGUCGGAGUCG
rnacentral:rRNA from 1 species